rnacentral:rRNA from 1 species
AUGAUCACAAGCUCUCAAUGUCCUCUCUGCACUUUGGAUUGUGAGAGUAUUAGACAUGCCAUGUUCUUGUGCCCUAGAGUUCAAGAAAUCUGGAGGAUAUUGGGACUCCAAGAUGUGGUUCAGGAGAUGUGUGCGCUAGAAAGGGAUGGCGAAUUGGUGCUGGCUGAUCUUCUUCUAUCAACGAAUAAUAACAUGGCUCAUAUGACUGAUGUUCAACGCAAUGACCUUGUGGCCACUACAGUGUGGUAUGUUUGGUGACGCUGCUACACUCAUGGUGAAUAUGUGUAUGAACCAAGCAGGUCAGCGUAAGCAAUUUUAGCUCUUGCUAAGAAUUUUUCCAAGGCAAAAUCGAAGCAAGCGAAACUGAGAAGAUAUGGAUGGAGUAAGCCAUCGGAGGGAGUUAUCAAACUUAAUGUCGAUGCCACUUUUGAUCCUGAUAGGGGAACAGCUUCAUGCAGUAAUAUCCCUUUUGUGGAAGACGCGGCUACGGCAGAAGCUAGAGGUAUGCGAGAUGGGCUCUUACUCGCAAAUGAAGUUGGGUGCAAUAAAAUUUGCGUCGAGUCUGAUUGCAUGGAGGUCGUCGAUGUCAUGCAAGGGGGUGGUAAUUCGCUAGGCCCGGCAGCCGCAAUUUAUGAAGAAUGUUCUUUUCUUGCUAGAAAUUUUAUUUCUAUUAUGUUUUCCUACUGCCCUAGGGAGGCCAAUGCGGCGGCAGAUUUAUUGGCUAGAAACUCGGAGUUCUCUCAUACAAUUGUUUGGAAAUCGGAGCCUCCGGAAUUUCUAGUAGAUGUGUUAACAAACGAUGUAUCACUUUUUGCGCAUGAAAUAUAA